rnacentral:rRNA from 1 species
UACGUAGGGGGCAAGCGUUAUCCGGAUUUACUGGGUGUAAAGGGAGCGCAGGCGGCACGGCAAGUCCGGUGUGAAAGCCCGGGGCCCAACCCCGGGACUGCACUGGAAACUGCCGGGCUGGAGUGUCGGAGGGGCAGGCGGAAUUCCUAGUGUAGCGGUGAAAUGCGUAGAUAUUAGGAGGAACACCGGCGGCGAAGGCGGCCUGCUGGACUGAAACUGACGUUGAGGCUCGAAAGCGUGGGGAGCAAACAGG